rnacentral:rRNA from 1 species
AAUUUUGGACAAUGGGGGCAACCCUGAUCCAGCCACCCCGCGUGUGCGAUGAAGGCCUUCGGGUUGUAAAGCACUUUUGGCAGGGAAGAAAAGGCGCGGGCUAAUACCCGGCGCCGCUGACGGUACCUGCAGAAUAAGCACCGGCUAACUACGUGCCAGCAGCCGGGGAAAUACGUAGGGUGCAAGCGUUAAUCGGAAUUACGGGGCGUAAAGCGGCGCCAGGGGGUACGGAAAUAUGAGUGGGAAACCCCGGGGCUUAACCUGGGAACGUCAUUCUUAACUGCCGGCUAGAGUAUGUCAGAGGGGGGUAGAAUUCCACGUGUAGCAGUGAAAUGCGUAGAGAUGUGGAGGAAUACCGAUGGCGAAGGCAGCCCCCUGGGAUGAUACUGACGCUCAUGCACGAAAGCGUGGGGAGCAAACA